UGGCUGUCGUCAGCUCGUGUCGUGAGAUGUGGGUUAAGUCCCGCAACGAGCGCAACCCUUGUCUUAUGUUGCCAGCACGUAAUGGUGGGGACUCGUAAGAGACUGCCGGGGUCAACUCGGAGGAAGGUGGGGACGACGUCAAGUCAUCAUGCCCCUUAUGUCCAGGGCUUCACACAUGCUACAAUGGCCAGUGCAGAGGGCUGCGAGACCGUGAGGUGGAGCGAAUCCCUUAAAGCUGGUCUCAGUUCGGAUCGGGGUCUGCAACUCGACCCCGUGAAGUCGGAGUCGCUAGUAAUCGCAGAUCAGCAACGCUGCGGUGAAUACGUUCCCGGGCCUU
rnacentral:rRNA from 1 species